rnacentral:rRNA from 1 species
AAUACCGUAGCUCGAAUUAUGUAUAUUAAAGUUGUUGCAGUUAAAAAGCUCGUAGUCGGAUUUUGGGGCGGGCCGACCGGUCUGCCGAUGGGUAUACUGGUCGGCGCGUCCUUCUUUCCGGAGACCGCGCCUACUCUUAACUGAGCGGGCGCGGAAGACGGAUCGUUUACUUUGAAAAAAUGAGUGUAUGGGCAGGCAGCUCGCUCGUGCAUGGAUUAGCAUGGGAUAAUGAAAUAGGACUCUGGUGCUAUUUUGUUGGUUUCGAACACCGGAGUAAUGAUUAACAGGGACAGUCAGGGUCACUCGUAUUCCGUCGAGAGAGGUGAAAUUCUCAGACCAAUGGAAGACGAACCACUGCGAAAGCAUUUGCCAGGGAUGUUUUCA